rnacentral:rRNA from 1 species
ACUCAAAGGAAUUGACGGGGGCCCGCACAAGCAGCGGAGCGUGUGGUUUAAUUCGAGGCUACACGAAGAACCUUACCUGGACUGGACAGGCGCGCGAACGAAGGUGAAAGCCGGAGGGCCGCAAGGCGCGCGCUCAGGUGCUGCAUGGCUGUCGUCAGCUCGUGCCGUGAGGUGUUAGGUUAAGUCCUGUAACGAGCGCAACCCCCGGGUCCAGUUACACGUGUCUGGACCGACUGCCCGUGACAAGCGGGAGGAAGGUGGGGAUGACGUCAAGUCAGCAUGGCCUUUAUGUCCAGGGCUACACACACGCUACAAUGGCCGGCACAAUGGGUCGCCAAGCCGCAAGGCGGAGCCAAUCCAGCAAAGCCGGUCACAGUUCGGAUUGUGGGCUGCAACCCGCCCGCAUGAAGUCGGAGUUGCUAGUAACCGCCGGUCAGCCAUACGGCGGUGAAUACGUUCCCGGGCCUUGUACACACCGCCCGU